rnacentral:rRNA from 1 species
GAUGAACGCUCGCUCCAGGCUUAACACAUGCAAGUCGAGGGGCAGCAUGGUCUUAGCUUGCUAAGGCCGAUGGCGACCGGCGCACGGGUGAGUAACACGUAUCCAACCUGCCGUCUACUCUUGGACAGCCUUCUGAAAGGAAGAUUAAUACAAGAUGGCAUCAUGAGUCCGCAUGUUCACAUGAUUAAAGGUAUUCCGGUAGACGAUGGGGAUGCGUUCCAUUAGAUAGUAGGCGGGGUAACGGCCCACCUAGUCUUCGAUGGAUAGGGGUUCUGAGAGGAAGGUCCCCCACAUUGGAACUGAGACACGGUCCAAACUCCUACGGGAGGCAGCAGUGAGGAAUAUUGGUCAAUGGGCGAGAGCCUGAACCAGCCAAGUAGCGUGAAGGACGACUGCCCUAUGGGUUGUAAACUUCUUUUAGAAAGGAAUAAAGUCGGGUAUGGAUACCCGUUUGCAUGUACUUUAUGAAUAAGGAUCGGCUAACUCCGUG